rnacentral:tRNA from 1 species
UCCCAAAUAGCUCAGUUGGUUAGAGCAUUCCGCCUAAGGCGGAUUAAUCAGAGGGUCGCUGGUUCAAGUCCAGCUUUGGGAG